CCUACGGGGGGCUGCAGUGGGGAAUAUUGCACAAUGGGCGCAAGCCUGAUGCAGCCAUGCCGCGUGUGUGAAGAAGGCCUUCGGGUUGUAAAGCACUUUCAGCGGGGAGGAAGGCGGUGAGGUUAAUAACCUCAUCGAUUGACGUUACCCGCAGAAGAAGCACCGGCUAACUCCGUGCCAGCAGCCGCGGUAAUACGGAGGAUGCAAGCGUGAAUCGGAAUUACUGGGCGUAAAGCGCACGCAGGCGGUCUGUCAAGUCGGAUGUGAAAUCCCCGGGCUCAACCUGGGAACUGCAUUCGAAACUGGCAGGCUAGAGUCUUGUAGAGGGGGGUAGAAUUCCAGGUGUAGCGGUGAAAUGCGUAGAGAUCUGGAGGAAUACCGGUGGCGAAGGCGGCCCCCUGGACAAAGACUGACGCUCAGGUGCGAAAGCGUGGGGAGCAAACAGGAUUAGAUACCCCUGUAGUC
rnacentral:rRNA from 1 species